UCCAGUGUAUUGAUUAACACUAGCUCAGGACCACACCUACUAGUGGUGGGUGGAACUGGUGGUGCUUAUGAUAUUUGGAUAUUUGAUAUUAACAAUAAAUCAUGGAAGGAAUUGGUUAAUUUACCAGUCAAUGUCACUAAUAGAUGCUGGCAUUCUCUCUCAGUUUGGAGUGUGACUCCAACCACUAACUGGAUAAUUGUGUUUGGAGGAAGCUCAUCAUACACUGAUACAGCAGUUGUUGAACUCAGAUAUACUAGUAAUAAUGAUUGGUCUACUAGUAUAAUACC